rnacentral:rRNA from 1 species
AACGAACGCUGGCGGCAGGCUUAACACAUGCAAGUCGUACGAGAUCUUCGGAUCUAGUGGCAGACGGGCGAGGAACACUUGGGAACAUCCCUUUCAGUUCGGAAUAACGUUGGGAAACUAACGCUGAUACCGUAUAGGUGCUUCGGGAGAAAGAUUUAUCGCUGAAAGAUUGGCCCGCGUCUAAUUAGCUAGUUGGUGCGGUAACGGCUAACCAAGGCUACGAUCAGUAGUUGAUCUGAGAGGAUGAUCAGCCACAUUGGGACUGAGACACGGCCCAAACUCCUACGGGAGGCAGCAGUGGGGAAUAUUGGACAAUGGGCGCAAGCCUGAUCCAGACAUGCCGCGUGAGUGAUGACGGCCUUCGGGUUGUAAAGCUCUUUUGUCCGGGAAGAUAAUGACUGUACCGGAAGAAUAAGCCCCGGCAAACUUCGUGCCAGCCGCCGCGGUAA